AGAAAGACAUGGUAGAGAGAAGGGAGAGAAUAAAGUACAGAAAAUAGAGAAAAAAAAUUAUAUGCAAGAUUUUAUGCUUUCUAACAGUUCAAUGACGAGGUAAGAUACUUUUGUACAAGUGGAUGGUUUCAGUAUAUUUUUAUAUACAAUUAAAUAUGCAUGAAUUGUUAGUGGACCUUUGGGUUCUUUAGAAAGAGAGAUGAGUUCCUACGUGAAUUUAAGAUGAUCUAGGAUAGGUGUGCCGUUUGGUCACCGAUAUACUCUAUAAAAGAAGAGUGGUAUGAAAUGUUUAUUUUAUUGUUGUAUAAUUGUGUAUAGAAACUAUACGUAUUUUGCUAGGUAUUUUUAAAUACUCAUUUUUACAAUAAUUUUACAGGUUAGUUCGGAUCGAUUGGAUUUAUGGCGGGAUGAUGAAUGCAGGCUGUCAAGUGAAACAAAGAAAAGUAAAAAUAAAUAUUAAGUAUUUUUUUCCGUCUUUAAAUUUAUUAGUUGGUUUAAAGUUCAAACUUCAAAGUCAUGUUAUUCAAUUGGUUAGUUGAAGAUGUUUAUUUUCUUAAGGAUACAAUUUUACAUGUUUAGUUUAAAUUCAUG
rnacentral:lncRNA from 1 species